GGGUGUAUAGCUCAGUGGUAGAACAUUCGACUGCAGGUCGGGAGGUCCUGGUUCAAACCCGGGUGCCCC
rnacentral:tRNA from 1 species